rnacentral:misc_RNA from 1 species
GAUGAAGAACGCAGCGAAAUGCGAUAAGUAAUGUGAAUUGCAGAAUUCAGUGAAUCAUCGAAUCUUUGAACGCACAUUGCGCCCGCCAGUAUUCUGGCGGGCAUGCCUGUUCGAGCGUCAUUUCAACCAUCAAGCCCCAGGCUUGUGUUGGGGACCUGCGGCUGCCGCAGGCCCUGAAAACCAGUGGCGGGCUCGCUGUCACACCGGGCGUAGUAGAUUUUAUCUCGCUCAGGGCGUGCUGCGGGUCCCGGCCGUUAAAAGCCUUUUUUUACCCAAGGUUGACCUCGGAUCAGGUAGGAAGACCCGCUGAACUUAAGCAUAUCAAUAAGGGAGGA